AUGUUUGUGGCCCAAUUAGCUAGAAAGCAGGAAGUGAAUUCAGCAUUUUUCUAUGAUUUUGAGGUGAAUGAUGAGGGGAACCUGGUGCUUGUGUUCUGGGCGGAUGCCACAAGCAGGAAGAACUAUAGUCACUUUGGUGAUGUGAUAUCCUUCGAUUCUACAUACACCACUAAUCAGUACAACAUGAUAUUUGCACCAUUUACAGGGGUUAAUCAUCACUUACAAAGUGUCUUUUUUGGUGUUGGAUUCUUAUCAAAUGAGAAGGAUGAGUCAUACAUUUGGUUAUUUCAGACCUUCCUAAAAGCAAUGGGAGGGGUAGCACCUAGACUCAUCAUAAUUGAUGAAGCUGCUAGCAUCAAGAAUGGUAUUGACAAAGUUCUUCCAGCCACUAUGCAUAGGUUAUGCAUGUGGCAUAUAAUGGAAAAGGUGCCUGAAAAAGUUGGACCUUUGAUUAGGGAAGAUUCUGAAUUUUGGACGAGGUUGAACUCAUGUGUUUGGGGUUCAGAAACUGCAAGUGAGUUUGAGUCACAAUGGAAUUCCAUCAUUACAGAUUUUGGGUUGGAGGAAAAUGAGUGGUUAGCUAAGAGGUUUACCAUUAGAGAUACAUGGAUACCAGCCUACUUUAUGGAUAUAUCUCUUGCGGGCUUGCUCCGAACCACUUCAAGGUCAGAAAGUGCAAAUUCUUUUUUCAACCAUUUCAUUCAUCGUAGGCUUGCUUUUGUUGAGUUCAGGCUUAGGUUCGACACAACUUUAGAAUGCCAACGUGAGGAAGAAUUAAUGGCAGACAACAGAAGCAUGCAUACCACCCCACAACUAUUUACGCCAUGGACAAUGGAGAAACAAGGUAGUGAGGUAUUCACAUAUGAGGUAUUCGAGAAAUUUCAGCUACAAGUUAUUGCUGCUAGAGAUCAUUGUUGUGUUCAGGGUAUUACACAAGGUGUGGGGUUAAAAAUGGUGACCCUGAGAGGUCGAUCUGGUAAGGUUAGGGAGGUCUCCUAUGACACUACAACCAUGAUAGCAAAUUGUCUGUGCAAGUUAUUUGAGUCAAUCGGUAUUUCAUGUCGACAUAUUAUCCAAGUGUUGAGGAUUGAGAACCAAAAUGAGCUUCCCAACUAUUACAUUAUGAAAAGAUGGCAGAAACGGUGCAAGAGGUAA
rnacentral:rRNA from 1 species